rnacentral:rRNA from 1 species
UACGUAGGUGGCAAGCGUUGUCCGGAAUUAUUGGGCGUAAAGAGCUCGUAGGCGGUUUGUCGCGUCUGCUGUGAAAACCCGAGGCUCAACCUCGGGCCUGCAGUGGGUACGGGCAGACUAGAGUGCGGUAGGGGAGAUUGGAAUUCCUGGUGUAGCGGUGGAAUGCGCAGAUAUCAGGAGGAACACCGGUGGCGAAGGCGGGUCUCUGGGCCGAUACUGACGCUGAGGAGCGAAAGCGUGGGGAGCGAACAGG